AGAGUUUGAUCAUGGCUCAGAUUGAACGCUGGCGGCAGGCCUAACACAUGCAAGUCGAGCGGUAGCACAGAGAGCUUGCUCUCGGGUGACGAGCGGCGGACGGGUGAGUAAUGUCUGGGAAACUGCCUGAUGGAGGGGGAUAACUACUGGAAACGGUAGCUAAUACCGCAUAACGUCGCAAGACCAAAGUGGGGGACCUUCGGGCCUCAUGCCAUCAGAUGUGCCCAGAUGGGAUUAGCUAGUAGGUGGGGUAACGGCUCACCUAGGCGACGAUCCCUAGCUGGUCUGAGAGGAUGACCAGCCACACUGGAACUGAGACACGGUCCAGACUCCUACGGGAGGCAGCAGUGGGGAAUAUUGCACAAUGGGCGCAAGCCUGAUGCAGCCAUGCCGCGUGUGUGAAGAAGGCCUUCGGGUUGUAAAGCACUUUCAGCGGGGAGGAAGGCGAUAAGGUUAAUAACCUUGUCGAUUGACGUUACCCGCAGAAGAAGCACCGGCUAACUCCGUGCCAGCAGCCGCGGUAAUACGGAGGGUGCAAGCGUUAAUCGGAAUUACUGGGCGUAAAGCGCACGCAGGCGGUCUGUCAAGUCGGAUGUGAAAUCCCCGGGCUUAACCUGGGAACUGCAUUCGAAACUGGCAGGCUAGAGUCUUGUAGAGGGGGGGUAGAAUUCCAGGUGUAGCGGUGAAAUGCGUAGAGAUCUGGAGGAAUACCGGUGGCGAAGGCGGCCCCCUGGACAAAGACUGACGCUCAGGUGCGAAAGCGUGGGGAGCAAACAGGAUUAGAUACCCUGGUAGUCCACGCCGUAAACGAUGUCGAUUUGGAGGUUGUGCCCUUGAGGCGUGGCUUCCGGAGCUAACGCGUUAAAUCGACCGCCUGGGGAGUACGGCCGCAAGGUUAAAACUCAAAUGAAUUGACGGGGGCCCGCACAAGCGGUGGAGCAUGUGGUUUAAUUCGAUGCAACGCGAAGAACCUUACCUGGUCUUGACAUCCACAGAACUUUCCAGAGAUGGAUUGGUGCCUUCGGGAACUGUGAGACAGGUGCUGCAUGGCUGUCGUCAGCUCGUGUUGUGAAAUGUUGGGUUAAGUCCCGCAACGAGCGCAACCCUUAUCCUUUGUUGCCAGCGGUUCGGCCGGGAACUCAAAGGAGACUGCCAGUGAUAAACUGGAGGAAGGUGGGGAUGACGUCAAGUCAUCAUGGCCCUUACGACCAGGGCUACACACGUGCUACAAUGGCAUAUACAAAGAGAAGCGACCUCGCGAGAGCAAGCGGACCUCAUAAAGUAUGUCGUAGUCCGGAUUGGAGUCUGCAACUCGACUCCAUGAAGUCGGAAUCGCUAGUAAUCGUAGAUCAGAAUGCUACGGUGAAUACGUUCCCGGGCCUUGUACACACCGCCCGUCACACCAUGGGAGUGGGUUGCAAAAGAAGUAGGUAGCUUAACCUUCGGGAGGGCGCUUACCACUUUGUGAUUCAUGACUGGGGUGAAGUCGUAACAAGGUAACCGUAGGGGAACCUGCGGUUGGAUCACCU
rnacentral:rRNA from 1 species